GGACUAUGGACUGUGGACUGAAACCUCCACAAACUAUCUGCCCCCCGCUACUUACUGUGCGGUGUCCACUGAGCACUUCCUAAGCCAGCCCCAGUGUCCACUUUGCCUUCCUGGAGCUCACAGUCCAGUAAGGUGGAAAGAGCCACAAGCAAGCAUUUCGCCUAACUUACGCUGAGCAGAAUGAACUAAAUACACGGGGGAGCUGUGUGGAGGAUAAUGGCAGAGCCCUCCAGGAAGGGCCUCUCUGAGGAGAUGACGGACCGGAAAUCAAAUGGGAAGGGUUCCCUCCUGUUCCAAGUGAGUUCCAGAGGAAUUACUCACGCUCCUUAACCUAUGAGUCACACAGGAGUCUAGGAGAGUGUUUCCAAAACAGGCGGACAAUCAGAUAAACAGAGCAAUUGAUAGGCGACAGUCGUGGCUGGGGUUACAUCUAGAGCUGAAAGAUGGUGAACCCGAGGAAUCCCUGGACGGCCAGAGCUCUGCAGAACGACUCAGAACGUUUCCUGAAAGUUAAC